UCUGUCAAACUCGGUUGUGUCUAUGAGACAACCUAUACUAAUGUUUAUCUUCACUGGUACAGACAUCAUUCUAACCUUCAGGCACCUCAGUUUAUACUCUGGAAAGGAGCAAAAUCAUAUGCCAGUUAUGGAUAUAUUCCUAACAAUCGAUACGAAUCCCAAACAACAGAUACAUCAACUGAACUGACCAUAAACAGACUAACCCUGGCAGACACAGCCCUCUACUACUGUGCUCUAGAGACACAGUGAUACAAAGUGUAGAAGAGGCUGUACAAAAACCUGAACACAGAUAUCUGACUACUCUUCAAAGAGGAGGGAAGUGGUAUUCAACCCACAGCUUCAUAUCAGAUGGACUCUGCUAAUUCCUGUUUUCUCAGAGUCACUGUGGUGACAGCUGCUAGUGAAACACCGUGGGAGGAUUCACAUGAGCAGCAAAUCCACAUCAAUGAAGAACCAACUGGAUGGUGCUUCAAACACGAGACACCAGGAAAACAAAUAAAUGGACAAUGACGUCCUCACUUAAUCCUCUUCAUACACUGCGGGUCAUUAGGCCACGAUGAGCUGCUUCCAUUGUUCACUGUCCUUGGCAACAUGUAGAGCUACAUCCCAAAUACACACUAAAGCAUUAACUCAUAAAACUCUGAAAUCAUCAGUACUUUAUUUUUACAGACAUUGAAAUCGAAGGAAAAACUCAGCAGAAUCAAACUUUAACAGCUCAAGUUUUUACCAAGUUUCAACAUUGGCUGAUUUAAGCUUCCACAACAACUCCGCCAUCUUUGUAUUUGACCAACAGAUACUAAACUGGCAAAUCAUCCUCAAGAGAAAAAACACUCUGAAAAGAACAUAAAAAGUCACAUGAUGAUCAAAUAUUAACCCUCAGUUUACCUGUGAUCUUUCCCAUAAAAGAUAUUAAAGGGGCCGUAGCAGGUUCACAACAAUUAGUCAAUCUGCGCUAUUUGUAAAAGAGGAAACGUGUCACCUCAAAUUUCCAAUGAUGACUUCAUACAAGACAAGUUAAGGUAGGAAAGCAGAGCGGUACAAAACUGUGUUGAGUGUAAAGUUGUCAGUAGGGGGGGUAACAGAGGGCUGUGAAUGAGCCCUGUCACUGUGAUCAGGCUCCUUCUAGUCCACCAACUUAGUGUUGAUGAAGACUAAACAGAGACUUCACAGCCUUCGUUAUACUUGCUGUAGCUCACAGCGACUCAACACUGCAGAUAUGACGCCUCUGCUCAUCUCAGUGCUGCUGGCUGCUAUGUGCCUUGAAUGCAGAGCACAAAAAGACAACGUGCUGCAACCAAAAAGAGAUGUGACUGCUACUGAAGGAGAGGCAGUAACACUUGGCUGUCUAUAUAACAGCAGUUCCACAAGUAAUUAUCUCUUCUGGUACAAACAGGAUGGAAACAACAGCCCCAAGUUCAUCCUGAGCCGCUUUAAACUGGAUGGAGGGAUCACAGCCGAUGAGUUCAGGGAGAGAUUUUCAUCCACUCUGAAUUCUACCUCAAGAUCAGUUCCUCUGAAGAUCCAGAAGCUUCAGCUGUCUGACUCUGCUGUGUACUACUGUGCUCUGCAGCCCACAGUGACAGGAAACACCAGAACUCUGUACAAAAACCUUUGGAGCAAAGACAACACAAUACUCCACAACAUCCACUAGAGGGAGUCACACACUGUUAAACUUCACUGGUUUCUUAUGAUCCAGUCUAGAUUCUAUGUACUGGUGAU